AGAAGUCUGUCCGCGAGCUGUCAGCGCGGGCGGGAACGCCGCGGGGCGCGGGGUGGGCGCGGCCGACCUGGUCCCUGAGCCGGCCGGCGACCCCGGACCUCCCGCGCGCCCCGCACCCGACCGGCUCAGCCGGCCGGCAGCGUAACACGCCCUACGCUCGCUUGCUCGCCGGCCUCAGGGCAGGCAGGCGGGCGCGGGAGACCCCGCCGGGGCCGAGACUUGGGGCGGGCGACGAGGACCCGGUUACGGCCUCCUCGCCAUGUCCUCGGCCUGCGACGCGGGCGACCACUACCCCCUGCACCUCCUAGUCUGGAAAAACGACUACCGGCAGCUCGAGAAGGAGCUGCAGGGCCAGAAUGUGGAGGCUGUGGACCCACGAGGUCGAACAUUAUUGCAUCUUGCUGUUUCCUUGGGACAUUUGGAAUCUGCUCGAGUCUUACUCCGACAUAAAGCAGAUGUGACAAAAGAAAAUCGCCAGGGAUGGACAGUUUUACAUGAGGCUGUGAGCACUGGCGAUCCUGAGAUGGUGUACACAGUUCUCCAACAUCGAGACUACCACAACACAUCCAUGGCCCUUGAGGGAGUUCCUGAGCUGCUCCAAAAAAUUCUCGAGGCUCCGGAUUUCUAUGUGCAGAUGAAAUGGGAAUUCACCAGCUGGGUGCCCUUGGUUUCUAGAAUAUGCCCGAAUGAUGUCUGUCGCAUCUGGAAAAGUGGUGCCAAACUGCGCGUCGAUAUCACAUUGCUGGGAUUUGAAAACAUGAGCUGGAUAAGAGGGAGGCGUAGUUUUAUAUUUAAGGGAGAAGACAACUGGGCGGAGUUAAUGGAAGUCAACCAUGAUGACAAAGUGGUCACCACCGAACGCUUCGACCUUUCCCAAGAAAUGGAGCGCCUCACUCUGGACUUGAUGAAGCCAAAAAGCAGGGAAGUUGAGCGGCGGCUCACAAGCCCUGUCAUUAACACCAGCCUCGAUACUAAAAAUAUUGCUUUUGAAAGGGUUUUCAGAGUGCUCAAGCUAACUCUUUUGCAACUGACAGUGUGUAGCUGAGAGAGAAUUUUUGGAAGACAGCUGCUUUGUUUUAAUGGUGCUCAGAAUUAAAUGUGUGCUUGUCGUGCAUUGAGCAAGAAUUGAGCCACUCCUUAGGAUUGAUACCAGCUACGAAAAGAAUAUAGCUGCUCUUGAAUGUGAGGUUUGUUGGUAUAAAAAGUGUGUGAAUUUACUUCUGAUCAGAGGUGUGAGUAUUCAUUUGAUUGAAUUUGGAAGGUGUGACCUUCUCUCAUUUUCUUUUCUUUCUUUCUUUUCUUUUUUCUUUCUUUUUUUUUUUUUUUUUUUUUUUUUUUUUUUUUUUUUUUGAGAUGGAGUCUCGCUCUGUCGCCCAGGCUGGAGUGCAAUGGCACGAUCUUGGCUCAUUGCAACCUCCGCCUACCGGGUUCAAGCAAUUCUCCCACUUUAGCCUCCCGAGGAGCUGGGAUUAUAGGCACCCUCCAUCAUGCCCAGCUAAUUUUUAUAUUUUUGUAGAGGCAGGGUUUCACCACGUUGGCCAGGCUGGUCUUGAAUUCCUGGCCUCAGGUGAUCUGCCUACUUUGGCCUCCCAAAGUUCUGGGAUUACAGGCAUGAGCCACGGCACCCAGCCCCCUCUCUCAUUUUUUGAUGGUCACUUUUCCACUUUUUUCUAAUCCGUUACUCAGAGCUUAUGUGUGCAAAUUAAUACCCUGCCCUGAUGAAUUUUUGGCCUGCAGUAUAUACACUGUGGUUGCAGUUUGAAUUUUUCCCUUUUCUGAAAGAUUAUGCUUUGCCCACCUCAAACAAAAUAUUCCCUGCCACCUUCAUAGCCUUUCUCCUGAUUGUGUAGCAACCACCAAGACACAGUGCCUGUGAAGUGGCCUUUGGUGUGGUCUCAGUGGAGACAGGCAGAGGUGAAAAUGGCACGAGAGGGAAGCCAGUUGUUCUAUCAUCUUCGGAUGCUUUUGCAUGCAAAGUUACCAAGGGCCACAGAGUUAUUAGGAAAUUAAAAUUUAAAACAGGGUAUGAACAUUGGGUUGAAUAACUAAACUGCUUCCAAGAGUGGAAAUGCUGAGCUGGGCGCACUGGCUCACGCCUGUAAUUCCAGCACUUUGGGAGGCUGAGGCGGGUGGAUCACGAGGUCGGGAGAUCGAGACCAUCCUGGCUAACACGGUGAAACCCCAUAUCUACUAAAAAUAUAAAAAAUUAGCCAGACGUGGUGGCGGGCGCCUGUAGUCCCAGCUACUUGGAAGGCUGAGGCAGGAGAAUGACGUGAACCCAGGAGGCGGAGCUUUCGGUGAGCUGAGAUUGCACCACUGCACUCCAGCCUGGGGGACAGUGUAAGAGUCCAUCUCAAAAAAAAAA
rnacentral:sRNA from 1 species